AUGCACGCUGGCGGCGUGCCUAAUCCCUGCAAGUCGAGCGCACAGAUAAGGAGCUUGCUCCUUUGACGUUAGCGGCGGACGGGUGAGUAACACGUGGGUAACCUACCUAUAAGACUGGGAUAACUUCGGGAAACCGGAGCUAAUACCGGAUAACAUUUGGAACCGCAUGGUUCUAAAGUGAAAGAUGGUUUUGCUAUCACUUAUAGAUGGACCCGCGCCGUAUUAGCUAGUUGGUAAGGUAACGGCUUACCAAGGCAACGAUACGUAGCCGACCUGAGAGGGUGAUCGGCCACACUGGAACUGAGACACGGUCCAGACUCCUACGGGAGGCAGCAGUAGGGAAUCUUCCGCAAUGGGCGAAAGCCUGACGGAGCAACGCCGCGUGAGUGAUGAAGGGUUUCGGCUCGUAAAACUCUGUUAUUAGGGAAGAACAAACGUGUAAGUAACUGUGCACGUCUUGACGGUACCUAAUCAGAAAGCCACGGCUAACUACGUG
rnacentral:rRNA from 1 species